UCACUGUAUUUUCGAUUGAUUUGAAUUAAUCCCGUCAGGAAUUUUAAGAGGCUCAUCUUGCUAUCCACCCUCCUCGCCUCGCGGGGCUGGGGAGCGUCAGGGGGCCCAAGGCCUUCCUGGCGAGCGUCGCAGGGCUCAGGGCUCCGGCAGGGCGCCUCGGCUCCCCCGGAGCGUCCACGGAGGUGUCGGAGAUCCCGAGGGUCCGGGGGUUGGGGGGGCGUGAAGUGGCAGCAAGACAUGCAGUUACUGACCUCUUAUUAGCCAGACGACGCGUUAAUGACACGUUCCAAUGGAAGGUUCGACGCAUGGGGAGGUACAAUUCCCCUAAGCAAGGCAAGUGUCAUGCCAACUACGAUAAAAAACGAAAAAUACACAAAAAAAAUACAAAAACAAAAAAUCCAAAAAAAAUUGUCUUGUUUUGCUUUGUUUAAAGCGUCUUGUAUGUUGGUAUGGCGGGUCUUCUCUGGGGAGAAGGAGACUAACGCGUUCCAACAUACAAAACCAGGAAAAGACGACAUGGAAACACCGAGAGAAGGAAGGGAAAGAAGGGAACACCAGAAGAAGGAAAAUGAAGAGAAGUAACACUAGAAGAAGGCAUAUGAAGUAACACAAGAAGAAGGAAGUUGAAAAGAGUAACACAAGAAGAAGGAAUUUGAAAAGAGUAACACAGAAGAAGGUAUUGAAAAGAGUAACACAGAAGAAGGAAGUUGAAAAGAGUAACACAGAAGAAGGUAUUGAAAAGAGUAACACAGAAGAAGGUAUUGAAAAGAGUAACACAGAAGAAGGUAUUGAAAAGAGUAACACAGAAGAAGGUAUUGAAAAGAGUAACACAGAAGAAGGUAUUGAAAAGAGUAACACAGAAGAAGGUAUUGAAAAGAGUAACACAAGAAGAAGGUAUUGAAAAGAGUAACACAGAAGAAGGUAUUGAAAAGAGUAACACAGAAGAAGGUAUUGAAAAGAGUAACACAAGAAGAAGGUAUUGAAAAGAGUUACACAGAAGAAGGAAUUUGAAAAGAGU